UUGAGAAUGAAAGAGUAUUUUGAUUCAUGCAAAUUGACAGUUUGAUGUCCAAUUGCUAGGUGCAGUUAUAUGCUCACAAUGCAAAGGUAGUGGGGUGAAUACUAUUGAUUAUUUUGGCGGACAAUUUAAAGCUGGUGAAUCAUGUUGGCUUUGCGGGGGGAAAAAGGAUAUGUUGUGUGGAAACUGCAAUGGUGCUGGAUUUGUAGGUGGUUUCCUGAGUGGUUUCGAUCAUUAAGUGUAGUAUCAUUAAGUGGAAGUGGAAGGCAAUCUCAGUUACAGAAAACCUUCUUAGCAUUGAGUAUGAAUGUGUAUAAAUGUUACAUAAAGCCAUGUAUCAUAUUGUGUAUACAUAAUCAUAAAAAAUUUAGGUACUGCAACUUGGUAGACAAUUAUAAUUCUUCCACCUCUACUCCAUAAUUUAGCUGUUUUCAAUUUCUUCAUAUUAGGCCAGUUAAAUAGUUUUGUAUAAUAUCUUUACGCGUUUAUGAAUCUCGAUCUUUUCUUCUUUACCACA